rnacentral:rRNA from 1 species
CCUACGGGAGGCAGCAGUGAGGAAUAUUGGUCAAUGGCCGAGAGGCUGAACCAGCCAAGUCGCGUGAGGGAAGACGGCCCUACGGGUUGUAAACCUCUUUUGCCGGGGAGCAAAGCGAACCACGUGUGGUUCAUUGAGAGUACCCGUAGAAAAAGCAUCGGCUAACUCCGUGCCAGCAGCCGCGGUAAUACGGAGGAUGCGAGCGUUAUCCGGUUUUAUUGGGGUAAUAGGGUCAGCAGGGGGCCUGUUAAGUCCGCGGUAAAAGCCCGGGGCUCAACCCGGGCGAGCCGUUGAAACUGGCGGGCUGGAGUUGGAGAGAAGUACGCGGAAUGCGCGGUGUAGCGGUGAAAUGCUUAGAUA